UCAAACAACUCUAAAAACCUACAAUCUACAUGCUAACGUGCUCGUAUUGAUGAGCACCACCUAACAAGGACUACAGACCUCCCAAACCCCUGCCGGACGCGCCGCCACGCGCCACCACCGACGGCAGCGAGUGGGCCCCACGCGCCACCCCAAAACUUUCGAAUUAAGACAAAUUCCCAACACAAAACUUGAAGAUUAAAGAGAAGGGAGCAUCUUUCAUACCUGAGGUUUCGCCCCAAUCGGCCGGAAACAAGCCGGAAACUCGCCGGAAAGAUUGGGAUCCACCACCGCCACUCUCCGCCGUGAGUUGAGCUUCAACACCACCAGGGAUCGAACGAGGACGUCCAACACUUCAUAUCCCGACCGUUUCCAAGCUGCGUCGCCGCCGCCGGAGGUAGGAAACCGAUCGGGUUGCAAACCGGGUCGCCCGCCCUCACUGUGGCGCUCGGCUUGCACAGCUCAGCUCGGGUCAUCCUCAUCCACCAACACAGGGAAGAUUGCGCCGCCAAGGAGAAGCGACUCCGACCGGUGCCGUCACCUGGGUCGGCCGGAGAUGCCCGGAAAAUUCGGGUCGGGUCAACCGGGUCCGGGUCGGGUUGGCUGGGAAGCUUGGGUUCUCUCGGGGUCGGGGAGAGAGAAGAAAGGGGAAGAAAAGGAAUUCUGAAAAAUAAGAGAACCCAAAACGAAAUUUUCCUAUUUAACCUAAAUAUUCCCGAAAAGCCACAACUUCUGCUGACCAUAACUUUCUCAUACGAAGUCCGUUUUAUGCGUGCCACGUGUCUACGAACUCGUAUCGUCGUGCUCUACAACUUUUGUGAAGGAAGUUUCUCGAGAAACCCAACGGAUUAGAAAGUCAACUCUUGACCCUUCAGAACCAUAAAACCGGUUCAGGCAAUUUACGCAUCCGAACCCUUCCGCUCUUCCUUCGAACAUCAAAACACACUAACUUCUAACUCAAAAAUUCCUAAAUAAAAUUAGAAACUAAUAUCAAAUUUCUGGGGUAUUACAGGUUUGCUUCAAUCUCAAGAACAAUUUAGAUUUCCAGAAAGUCUACUUUUCUUUGAUUUCUCUUAUGUUAAUGGUAGACAUUUCUUAUGAAAAAAGUAGUUGUAUCUUAUGUUAAAUGUAGACUUUGCAUCUUUUACCUUGAUUUGGUUCAUUCUCAAGAACAAUUUAGAUUUCCAGAAAGUCUACUUUUAUUUUAUUUCUCUUAUGUUAAUGGUAGACAUUGUUUAUGAAAAAAGUAGUUGUGUCUUAUGUUAAAUGUAGACUUUACAUUUUUUACCUUGGUUAAUUUGCUUCAAUCUCAAGAACAAUUUUAAUUUUCCAGAAAGUCUACUUUUCUUUGAUUUCUCUUAUGUUAAUGGUAGAUGUUUCUAAUGAAAAUAGUAGAUGUGUCUUAUGUUAAAUGUAGACUUUGCAACUUUCACCUUCCAUUAUUGAUUCAAUCUCAAAAACAAUUUUGAUUUUCAGAAAAUCUACUUUUCUUUGAUUUCUGUUAUGUUAAUGAUAGACAUUUCUUAUGAAAAAAGUAGUUGUGUCUUAUGUUAAAUGUAGACUUUGC
rnacentral:lncRNA from 1 species